UAGGUUGUGUUCUUCCCUUUCUCUAUGACAUAAUAAUGGCGGCAAUUUUUUUUUUUUCUGCUCUGCCCCAGCGUAAUUUAAUUAACCUUUGACUCUUUUCAUUCUCUAUUAUCACUUUCAAGUUGUAUUAAUGAUAACAAAGAAUCGGACAAUAAUUUCCAUUUCACGGCCAGUCGUUGACAAUUUUUAGCGUCAAUUCGAACAAAUAUGGAGAAAUCUGAUAACUAACUCUGUUCUAAGAGGCGUGCAAUUAAGGGUUUAACUAAAGAACACAUGUAACGACAGAAGCACUCCAGAUUAUGUUGAACCAUUAGAGUUUACUAGAUUUCACGACGAGUAUAAGAUUCGAACUCUCUGAUAUGCGGAGCACAAUAGAUUAUCAGUUGGUUGCGUCAACCAUUUGGCCACUAAGUCCUUCCUAUGACUGCAGUAUCUGAUCGAAUAGCAAUUUUGUCAUUCAUUGGCGUAUUACAUUUGGCCGCGAACCAUCUUCCAAAUUUUAAAAGAUCAUCGUUUGAAGCUAUGCUUAGUGCAAUCUCUAGACCAUUAUUACAUCGUGAUAAUUGUUUUCAUAUAUUCCAAUUUCGGAUCAGCAAUUGCGAAUGCUUUUUCUAUUCGACCAUUUCACUGGACGUUGUUGUCAGGACAAUGGAUGACUUAGGAUGAUUUUGGCGCCAUAAAACCAAAUUGCCAUAGUUUAACAGACUCCAAAAGAUAAAGCUUCAGAAAACUGAAGACUACAAAUGUGAAAACUACUGGCAGGCAAUACUAAAAGCAGUGAAAAUCCAGAUUUGGCAAUGUAAGGGAUUAAAGCACAUCGUUAUGCAGAAAAUCGUUGAUCACGUGUUCAGAUUGUCGGCUACGACCAACGAUGAAACCACAAUCUGUGCUGGGCGAAUUGAUUGCUCGCGAACCGCGGACAUUCCUCUUCAAAAUGCAGUUAGGGACGCGUAAUGUUAGCAUGUCGUGGCCUUUGAAAUCACAGCCAUACGACCAACGAACUGCCCCGGAUUUAUUCCAAAAGCGAACGGACGCGGUUGUUAUCAACACUGCCGAUACUACGAGUAGGAAGCUAGGUCGAAGACACAACGUUAGCCUGCACAUAUACAACAUUUUAUAAGGUGCUUGUAAUCGGUCGGCUAACGUCUUCUUCUGAUGGAACGAAAACAAUGUGUUUUUCCAAGAAAAUAAAUUCCUUGGGCUAUACCUGUUGUUUGCUUGUUCGCCAGGUCCAACAUCAUCUCGCAUAAACAAACAGAGCAACUAAUGAUGUAUGUCGAAAAAGAUCUUGAUCCUCGACUUUGGUGUGAAAUAAACGCAGCGAUCCAACAGUGUUGAAGAGUUGAAGAAUUUUCGAAAUUAAAAAGCUAAAGAUACGUUCGACGAGGAUGAGAUUCGAACUCAUGCGUGCAGAGCACAAUAGAUUAGCAGUCUAUCGCCUUAACCACUCGGCCACCACGUCGGAUUCCUUCUGCCUGCCAUGCUUCCAAUACCAAAAAUCUUAGGUAGGCACAGUUGUAAUUUGUUUGGCAAACUCGGAUUUCGAGGGGUACUAGAUUUUGACUGUCUUCAGAGCUGGAAGGAUAAUUUGUUUAGAGAAUGAACCCGACUGUUGGCUAAGCUGGCUAUAGAAGAGUGGUAGGCUACCUCUUUGGAAGUAAUAGCACUGUUGGACUGUUUACAGGGGUAAUUGGCCCGACUAGCAAAUCGUCAUCCAGAAAAUCUCUCGUCUGUUGUACAGAUUGCUGGACACGACCGACCAUGAAUCCACAGUCCGAUUCAGACCAACUGAUUUCCCGAGAACCUUUCACAUUCCUCUUCGAAAUGCAGGUGUACAAAAGUGUUGAUAGAGGAAAGCACAUAGUGACGACCAACGAACGUCCCUAGACUCGUACCAAAUGCGAGCAGACGAGGCUAUUGUCAACAAUGCUGGUAGCAGGAAACUAAGCCGAAGACAGAAAUCUAUGCUGGGCAUAAUGUUACGGAGCUGGUACAAUAGUCGAUUUUGUUUCAGCAAAGACGAUCGCACAAUGUUGCUCUGUUGCCGUACAACUGCCACUGUUCCAAGUUUUAACUUUGAAAGUUGAAACUGUUGUUGCAACCCCACAGAAGAAGAAGAAACUGUACCAUCGGCGAGGCCACUACGUCGAAAUUUUUCUGCUUCGUCCAAUUUCAGACUCCACGUUCGAAAUGUCUCUUUUCAAUGUUUCAACUUGGAGAAUGAAAUUACAUCUCCGUUAUAGGACCGAGUACCGUUAACGUUUGUCGUUUUAAAGACCAAAAAACACCUGCUGCUGUGAUACAAUCUUUACAACCGG